UGUACACACCGCCCGUCGCUACUACCGAUUGAAUGGCUCAGUGAGGCGUUCGGACUGGCCCAGGGAGGUCGGCAACGACCACCCAGGGCCGGAAAGUUCGUCAAACUUGGUCAUUUAGAGGAAGUAAAAGUCGUAACAAGGUCUCCGUAGGUGAACCUGCGGAGGGAUCAUUACCGAGCGAGGGCCUCCGGGUCCGACCUCCAACCCCAUGUUAUUCGACCCUGUUGCCUCGGGGGCGACCCGGCCUUCGGGCGUCGGGGCCCCCGGUGGACCACUCAACUCUGCAUCAUUGCGUCCGAGUCACAUAUUGAAUCAAUCAAAACUUUCAACAACGGAUCUCUUGGUUCUGGCAUCGAUGAAGAACGCAGCGAAAUGCGAUAAGUAAUGUGAAUUGCAGAAUUCAGUGAAUCAUCGAAUCUUUGAACGCACAUUGCGCCCCUUGGUAUUCCGAGGGGCAUGCCUGUUCGAGCGUCAUUACACCACUCAAGCCUGGCUUGGUAUUGGGCGUCCGCGGUCCCACGGCCGCGCGCCCUAAUGUCUUCGGCUGAGCCGUCCGUCUCAAAGCGUUGUGGUCAUACAGUUCGCUUGCGAGGCCGGGCCGGCUUGUCGCCGUUAAACCCCCCAUUCAAAGGUUGACCUCGGAUCAGGUAGGGAUACCCGCUGAACUUAAGCAUAUCAAUAAGCGGAGGAAAAGAAACCAACAGGGAUUGCCCUAGUAACGGCGAGUGAAGCGGCAACAGCUCAAAUUUGAAAUCUGGCGCAAGCCCGAGUUGUAAUUUGUAGAGGAUGCUUCUGGGCAGCGGCCGGUCUAAGUUCCUUGGAACAGGACGUCAUAGAGGGUGAGAAUCCCGUAUGCGACCGGUUGGCACCCGUCACGUAGCUCCUUCGACGAGUCGAGUUGUUUGGGAAUGCAGCUCUAAAUGGGAGGUAAAUGCCUUCUAAAGCUAAAUACCGGCCAGAGACCGAUAGCGCACAAGUAGAGUGAUCGAAAGAUGAAAAGC
rnacentral:rRNA from 1 species